CUCAAAAAAACCCAAAACAAUUUCUUUUUAUUCUUUCGUGCCCUAAAUUCGAGAGAACACAAUUCGAGACACCAGAUCGAACCAACCACAGAUCUGAUAACAAAUUAAUACAAUUGAGAACGCAAACACAGCCUCCUAACAGCAUAAAGAGGGGAUCGAUAGUGAAACCCUAGAAAACGAAGAGAAACGGAGACACAGUGCGAUAAAACCUAGAAAGUGUGGGUAGGUAAUUGCGUUUUUCUCUCUCACAUGUGGAGUGAGAUUGGAAGGGGCUUACCGAUUGAGCGAUGCGAUUGAAGAGAGAGGGUGGGGCGACGGCGCAGAGAUUGUAGAGCGAGAGAGGGAUAUCUCCAAAUCGGGAGUGGGAGAGGGAC